GUAUGUACGGGGAUUUUCUCGAAAGAGCUACUUGUAUACUAGCAGGACCCCACGGUAUAAAUUGUGCGAGUUUUCGUUCCCUAAUCCUUUGUAAUGACUUAUGAACUUGUGUUGGGUCUACUUCACCCUAUAAAAAAGAGUAAACGCCUCAUUACGUCUAAUACAGAAGUUUUCCUCACAGAGGCACCCUAUUUAAUUAUAAUUUGUAUUAUUUUAAUGACAAAACUUAAAGUAUAAUCUUACCUCAUUACUUACUUCCUGAUCUGUAGUAAGUGGAGUGUAACCCGUCAUGAGAAAAUGUAAACGUGGUGUUGGAAUUAACGGAGCAAUUAAACCAACUAAAUCAUUAUUCAUGUAAGAAGGAUAUCUAGUAUUGUGAAAAUGUGAUUUAAGUUAUAAGAUGAUAUAAAUUAUAUUAUUUUAUAUCAAUAUAAAUAAAGUAAUACGCUACCGAAGUGUAGUAGUGCUAACAGA